rnacentral:tRNA from 1 species
ACCUUUCUAAUAUUAAAUUAGUAUUAGUGACUUCCAAUCAUUCAGUCUUGGUUAAAAUCCAAGGAAAGGUA